GGCCACCUUCGGGGGGCUUUACCAAAGGCGUUAAAAUGCCGACAUAGCAAACGGAAGACAGAAA
rnacentral:ncRNA from 1 species